AAUCUUCCACAAUGGGCGAAAGCCUGAUGGAGCAACGCCGCGUGAGUGAAGAAGGUUUUCGGACCGUAAAACACUGUUGUAAUGGAAGAACAAAUACAUUAGUAACUGGCUGUACCUUGACGGUACCUUAUUAGAAACACACGGCUAACUCCGUGCCAGCCGCCGCGGUAAUACUUAGGUGGUCAGAGUUGUCCGGAAUUAUUGGGCGUAAAGCGUGCGCAGGCGGUCCUUUAAGUCUGAUGUGAAAGCCCACGGCUCAACCGUGGAGAGUCAUUGGAAACUGGGGGACUUGAGUGCAGAAGCAGAAAGUGGAAUUCCAAGUGUAGCGGCGAAAUGCGUAGAGAUUUGGAGGAACACCAGUGGCGAAGGCGACUUUCUGGUCUGUAACUGACGCUGAGGCGCGAAAGCGUGGGGAGCAAACAGG
rnacentral:rRNA from 1 species